rnacentral:rRNA from 1 species
CCUACGGGACGCACCAGUGGGGAAUAUUGCGCAAUGGGCGCAAGCCUGAUGCAGCCAUGCCGCGUGUAUGAAGAAGGCCUUCGGGUUGUAAAGUACUUUCAGCGGGGAGGAAGGUGUUGUGUUAAUAACCGCAGCAAUUGACGUUACCCGCAGAAUAAGCACCGGCUAACUCCGUGCCAGCAGCCGCGGUAAUACGGAGGGUGCAAGCGUUAAUCGGAAUUACUGGGCGUAAAGCGCACGCAGGCGGUCUGUCAAGUCGGAUGUGAAAUCCCCGGGCUCAACCUGGGAACUGCAUUCGAAACUGGCAGGCUAGAGUCUUGUAGAGGGGGGUAGAAUUCCAGGUGUAGCGGUGAAAUGCGUAGAGAUCUGGAGGAAUACCGGUGGCGAAGGCGGCCCCCUGGACAAAGACUGACGCUCAGGUGCGAAAGCGUGGGGAGCAAACAGGAUUAGAUACCCCAGUAGUC